GUUGUCACCAGGAGCAGUAGCAUCGGGUCCUUGCUGCGCAGCUGCCGCUCGCUCACUGCGAUUUGCAUCGAGGUAGCGCCACAUCCUUCCAGCCACUGCCCCACGGAAAAGGACCAACAGUCCCAUGCCCAGCACUGACUGAGGAGCUCCAGGACAGGCAAGGAGUGCAGGUCACCAUGAAAGUUCCCCACUGGGGGAAACUGGUUGUGAUAAAUCUCAACCGGCCAGGCUGUGCGAAGGGUCCAACCAGCUACAGACAAGUGGGCAGCCACAACGGAGGCUGUGGGAUCCUUGCUUUCUUUGCACAGAAGUCUAUCUAGUUCACGUGCAACUGUGGCAGCUGCCCCUGGUCCAGCAGCUGUCCCACUCGCAGCAGUGCUGGCUGUCCCAGCAGGAGGAUCUCCCUCUAUCCUGCUGGCAGAUGCCUCCCGAUGCAGUGCCGGAUCUGCCAAAACGCUCUCUGUGCCCCCAUGGAUGAUCUGAUGAGCAGCGUAGAUGUGUUUUCUUUGGGACUGCCUCACUGCACAUAAAAAGAGGUCCAUUUUGUCAACAAUGAAUGCAACCAGAUCUCACUUGCAUUUGAACAGCUGACCUUCACCAGCCAGCUCUCAAUUCCCAAGAGAGGUUUCUCUACCCAAGGCAUUUUGGCUUGAAUCAUAUUUGCUUGAACUGCAUCAGGUAUACCGGCAAUACUCUCCUGGUAUUGCUGCAGUCCCUUCCUCCAUCCACAGUGAAUUCCAUCUAAAAGAAAACAGGCUCAAACUGACCAGCAUCUGCCAUUUUAUUCACUUUGCCCUGGAAGGUUGUGGCCCUGCAAGGAAAUAGGAUGGGAAUUCACAUUCCUGGCUCUCACUAGAUCCUUCGUAGAGGAUUUCUCUGCUCUGCAUAACAGUGGCAGGUACAACAACGUGACACCAUUGCUGAGGUUCUAGAAGUCUUGAGCCCAGCAGGAUUUACAAAGCAAACCUUGUGCAUUUGUGACUCAUGCUGUUGCUGUAGAGCCAGGAUCCUUUGCUCCUCUGCCUUCAAGAGCAGCUGCCCAUCCUCCUGGAGUGCGUGAGUGGUGCGCAGCUCUUGGAUCAGAUCCAGUCGCUUCUUCUUCCCUUCAAACAUCUUUAAAAUAAAGGUGUUGAAGACUGAGUUUUCCAAAUGCAAAAGGAAGCAUUCCUGCCUUUCUACACCAGCACUCAGGAGAAGCAAAACAGAACUAGCCAAAGGACUGCCUUAUGAUUUGGUAUGUUCUUUUUCUCUGGAAAGAAGGGAUGAUUUUCCAGUCCUAGAGAGCUAAACUGUACCACAUCACUUGGCUACAAGUGUGAAAUCGCUCCAGGACAGAGUUUUGGAAAUGGUGAUGGCACAUAUACUGCAUAUCACAACCCCCAUGACACAUCAUUACUGCUAUUUCAAUCUCUGCAGGAGAAUCAUUAUCUGUGAACUGGAGCAUGCUCAUCAAACACUGCAUCCUGCAUGAUGACAAGAGCUUCACUCCAGCAAAUUAAUGAAGUGCAUGCUCAGUGCUAAGCAGCCAAGGUCUCACUGACUUCAAUGAGACUAAAGUUAAUUGCCUCACUGGAUUAUGAUAGUGUUGUCAGAUCAGAAGGUUGGAAGCUACUGAAUAACAAUAAUAAUAUGAUGAUGAUGAUGAUGCCUUCUUAUUUCUCAAGAACAAGAGAAUUACAUGUCUAUUAAUUUAUGUCUUUAUAAAAUAAAGUUUACUUAAGGAUUUGGCCAACAGAUAUUGUAAAAUAUUUUCAAUUCUUUGGCUGCUAGUAUCUUUAUAAAAUAAAGAGAGACUAGGAGAGUCUUAAGAAA